rnacentral:piRNA from 1 species
UCCCAUGGGUUCCUGAUGAGGUGAUGUUU